AAUUAAACCUUCUGUUAGUAUAUGUGCAACGGUUGGGUUCGAUUUGUUUAUCAGAUCAGAAGUGCGUGACCGCCUGAUCCGUAAAAAAAAUAUGGGUCAAUCCAGGAUGGCAGUCACAUUUCAAUGAUUCAUGACCAUCCACGAAUGUGUGUUGCCACAGAAACACCUCAAACCAGGUUUCUGUCUGAUGCAUCAUGCAGUGUUUCCAUUAUUGAUAUGACUCUCUCACUUGAGGAAAUCCAUUUCACCACUUCAAGAUCUUUAAGGAGUGCUCUCCUCUGGGACUCACCGUCUAGGGGCAACAGCAAUUCUGCUAAUAUGUGUAGGGGAUAUGCAUAUAUUUGACACAGGUGAAAAGGUUCCAGUUUACUCCCUACAGUGUUGCUGUAUUUGUUUCUGUCCUUGAACACUUUGAUGCUAACAGUCUUUAAUGUUUAUAGUACAGAAGACCUAACUCUGACAAUGAAUUACCACCACCACUGAAAAGAUGACUAUAUGCAAAUACAAGGUAAAGCAAGGUAACUGUAAUAAUGAAUACAUAUUUUUAAAGUGGAAGCAAGAUACAAUAGUAAAGGAAUGUAUGCAGCUAAACAUCCCAAAAUUACUAUUACACAAAUUAAGUUAUUGAUCCAGGAAUUUACAAAAGUAUGAUAAAGUACAGAAAAAAUUACUCCAAAUAUAUUCUUUUGGAGAAAAGCGAGACGCAAUAAUAAAAAAUAAGUUUUCUAUCAUAUGGACAUAGAAGAUGUGAAACAUGUUUUAUAGACUUCAAAAUUAUUACAUGAAUAAAUUUACCAUUGUUUUACAUCUAUAAAUUAAAAAAAAUGAGUCUAGGAAUUAAUGUAAUUUAGGUCUUGAAAAUGUUCCAAGCCAUUAUGGUAAUUCCUUCCCCUCAGCACUACAGCUCAGGGUGAGCUCUGGCCUCUUGAACAAUCUGCCUCCAUUCUUCUCUAUUCUUCCAUCCAUCCAAGGCUGAUUAUCUGGUUUCUGAACAGUUUAGUUUUUACGGUGUGAGUUUGUUAGCCUCACGCCCAAACCCCAACCUGGAGGACCAGGGUAUCCCUAUUUGUCUACACCCUAACCUAUCCUGAAUGGGUGGCCCUACCAGUAGCUACGCUACCACCAGUAUAGCUCUCAGGGUCUCAGGAGCACUCGAACCCCACCACCAUGAUAAGGUGGAGACACCAUUGCUGGGGCCAUUAUGGUAAUAUCUAAAUGAAAAAAUCUCAAAUGACUCCAAAUUUAUUAGUUCCUGAGUUCAAAAAGUCACAGACUUAACACAAAUAUAAAUCAUUAGUAAGUACUAUUCUAUUAUGAUGAAAAUUUUAAAUUAAUUUUUUCACCACUUUCAGUACAAUGAAAACUUUGAAAAGCUGAACAAGUUAUGCAAAGGAAUUUCCUGGCA